rnacentral:misc_RNA from 1 species
AACGCAUAUUGCGCCCCUUGGUAUUCCGGGGGGCAUGCCUGUUCGAGCGUCAUUAUAACCACUCAAGCCUGGCUUGGUGUUGGGGUUCACCCUCAGGUGGCCCCUAAAACUAGUGGCAGUGCCGUCCGGCUCUAAGCGUAGUAAUUAUUCUCGCUAUAGGGACCUGGUAGUGCUUGCCAUCAACCCCAAAACUUUAUUAGGUUGACCUCGGAUCAGGUAGGGAUACCCGCUGAACUUAA